rnacentral:rRNA from 1 species
UACAGAGGUCCCAAGCGUUGUUCGGAUUCACUGGGCGUAAAGGGUGCGUAGGCGGUCGGGUAAGUCUGAUGUGAAAUCUCACAGCUUAACUGUGAAACUGCAUUGGAUACUAUCCGGCUCGAGGAAUGGAGGGGUGACUGGAAUACUUGGUGUAGCAGUGAAAUGCGUAGAUAUCAAGUGGAACACCAGUGGCGAAGGCGAGUCUCUGGACAUUUCCUGACGCUGAGGCACGAAAGCCAGGGGAGCAAACGGG